rnacentral:tRNA from 1 species
GCGGAAGUGGCGAAAUUGGUAGACGCCGCAAGGUGUGGGAGUUCAAGUCUCCCCUUCCGCACCA